rnacentral:rRNA from 1 species
AGGGAAUCUUCGGCAAUGGGCGAAAGCCUGACCGAGCAACGCCGCGUGAAUGAUGAAGGCCUUCGGGUUGUAAAAUUCUGUUAUAGGGGAAGAACGACUUUAGUAGGAAAUGGCUAGAGUGUGACGGUACCUUAUGAGAAAGCCACGGCUAACUACGUGCCAGCAGCCGCGGUAAUACGUAGGUGGCGAGCGUUAUCCGGAAUUAUUGGGCGUAAAGAGCGCGCAGGUGGUUGAUUAAAUCUGAUGUGAAAGCCCACGGCUUAACCGUGGAGGGUCAUUGGAAACUGGUCGACUUGAGUGCAGAAGAGGGAAGUGGAAUUCCAUGUGUAGCGGUGAAAUGCGUAGAGAUAUGGAGGAACACCAGUGGCGAAGGCGGCUUCCUGGUCUGUAACUGACACUGAGGCGCGAAAGCGUGGGGAGCAAAC